GAUGAACACUGGCGGCGUGCCUAAUACAUGCGAGUCGAGCGAACAGAUGAGGAGCUUGCUCCUCUGACGUUAGCGGCGGACGGGUGAGUAACACGUGGAUAACCUACCUAUAAGACUGGGAUAACUUCGGGAAACCGGAGCUAAUACCGGAUAAUAUAUUGAACCGCAUGGUUCAAUAGUGAAAGACGGUUUUGCUGUCACUUAUAGAUGGAUCCGCGCCGCAUUAGCUAGUUGGUAAGGUAACGGCUUACCAAGGCAACGAUGCGUAGCCGACCUGAGAGGGUGAUCGGCCACACUGGAACUGAGACACGGUCCAGACUCCUACGGGAGGCAGCAGUAGGGAAUCUUCCGCAAUGGGCGAAAGCCUGACGGAGCAACGCCGCGUGAGUGAUGAAGGUCUUCGGAUCGUAAAACUCUGUUAUUAGGGAAGAACAAAUGUGUAAGUAACUAUGCACGUCUUGACGGUACCUAAUCAGAAAGCCACGGCUAACUACGUG
rnacentral:rRNA from 1 species